AUUGAACGCUGGCGGCAGGCCUAACACAUGCAAGUCGAGCGAGCGGCGGACGGGUGAGUACUGUCUGGGGACUGCCCGAUAGAGGGGGAUAACUACUGGAAACGGUGGCUAAUACCGCAUACUAUCGGAUAACCCAUAUGGGAUUAGCUAGUAGGGGGGGUAAAGGCUCACCUAGGGGACGAUCGCUAGCUGGUCUGAGAGGAUGAUCAGACACACUGGGAGUGAGACACGGCCCAGACGCCUACGGAGGCAGCAGUGGGGAAGAUUGCACAAUGGGCGAAAGCCUGAUGCAGCCAUGCCGCGGGUAUGAAGAAGGCCUUAGGGUUGUAAAGGACUUGCAGCGGGGAGGCGUUACCCGCAGAAGAAGCACCGGCUAACUCCGUGCCAGCAGCCGCGGUAAUUC
rnacentral:rRNA from 1 species